GGAAAACAGAUCAGGGACUGUUAGUGGGGAGAGCAGUUAUUGAGAUGACUGAUCUAAUCCAGGUGAGAAAUACUGAGACAUCUGGAAUAUUGAAGAACUCAGUAGUAUGGGAAAUACAAGUCAUGGAGGACGUCCUAAGAAGGUAGUGGCAGUCUUGAUUUUUGAUUGGAUGUAGAAAGAAAGAGAGGGAAUUUCUGUCGUCAUUAGUCAGCUCUGAGUGCAGGCACUGACAUGUACAUUAUUGCUUAGGGCUCUAAGCGGAGAAAGAAAACAACCCGCCCCCCCCCCCCGGUGUCUUCUAACCUAAAGCAUAUUUCCUAAGUCCUUGUACCCUCAGUCUAGACUGAAAACAAACAAAACAGACUCCUCUUGAAGCUCUUAGAUCUCUCACCUUGCAAUUCUAGCUUUCAAAUUCCACGCCGAGCUUCCUUUCCCACACCCCAAGCCCUUGUACUGGGGAUUACAAUGAUCGUUUGUGUGUACUAGGUAAUUGUUCCUUCCACAUCAGGGGCCUUGGGAGGAUGACCUAAGGCUGCUUUCUCCUGUUCUUACUUCCUCUACCCAGCACUGUAACUACACAUGGAAUCUGCUGGUUCUUACAAAGGAUGCUGACUGGUGCUGUGAUGUGGUCUUCAGGAAGCCAGGGGGAUCUCCAUAUGAGGGAGGCAACUGGGGCCUCACCAGGAGAAGGAGCUUGCCCAAGACUGCAGGUUGCACCUCAUGGCCACCUUCAGUUAGCUCCUGGAAUGGUCAUCCCCUGUCUGGCACAGGCUGACCUGCAUUAAACUUGAGAAUGGAGAGACAGCAAGCGAGCAAGCUUGAACCUGACUCACACAGCUAUAUGCCUCAUUGUCAGACACUCAGAGGGAAAGUCCGAGUGAGAAUACAAUGUAAUCCCUUAAGUGUGUUCACCACAAGGGAGCUCCAACAACACCACAACCGUCAACGUAAUUCCACCUCAGGUGCAGUCUGAGAUCCAACAGGUAUACUUGCGUGUGGAAGGAAGAUGUGAAUGCUGGGAAGUAAAGAAAACAGUGAUCAAGUCAGAAUGUGAAGGAUGUGUCAUAGCUUUUUAUUUGAAGGUGAUGUAUUGAGCCUAGAAGAAUGGCAUUCUGCAUCAAAUCUGUCCUUUACAUUGUCUGAUCUCUUUUACUUAAAAACUAAACAAAACAAGAAAUUUUAUCUUUUGAACAUUUGGACCAAUUUUUAGCCUAUUGGGGCUGAAUGUUUUCUUUACAAAGAAGUAAAGUGUGCCUGGGACACUGUCACAUAGUCAAUCGUAAGGAAGAAUCAGUUUCAUUAAAUUGCCUCCCCUUCUCACAGCUCAUAGAGAGGUGCUGAGUUCAUGAGCACUUUAAUGG